rnacentral:lncRNA from 1 species
UAUUGUUAGCUUCUACCAUAAGCUAUCCACACCUUGUCAUAUUACGUGAAGUCUUGCUUGAAAAUGUAUUGAGCACUUGGUUGUGAAAGGUAAAAAGAAAUUGCAACAAUAAGAUCAUAAUAAUUCUAAUAGAAUUUUAAAUAAACUCUAAUUAAACUAAAAUAAAAAUUCAAGAACCUUAAUCAAAUCCUAGACCGAAUCCUAAUCCUAAUCUUAAUAAAAUUCUAAUCCAAACCAAAUCCUAAACCAAACCAAGACCUAAUCCUAAUC